AUCACUUCUCUGCCUUUUGGCUAAGAUCAAGUGUAAAUAUCUGUUCUUAUCAGUUUAAUAUCUGAUAGUUCCUUUCAAGGGAAUCAUGUAUUAAGUUGAUUUGAGCUUGCUCUGUCCACUCUGCACAUCAUCCUGGUAUUGACUGGACAGUAUCUCAAGAUGUUGCUGCAAUAUUUCUAUAACAUGCUCAUGAUCUUGAGCAUUUGUGAACUGUAA
rfam:Xiphophorus maculatus strain JP 163 A Contig52.14, whole genome shotgun sequence.